rnacentral:rRNA from 1 species
UAGUCCACGCCGUAAACGAUGGAUACUAGCUGUCCGCUACCUUGAGUAGUGGGCGGCCCAGCGAAAGUGAUAAGUAUCCCACCUGGGGAGUACGUUCGCAAGAAUGAAACUCAAAGGAAUUGACGGGGGCCCGCACAAGCGGUGGAGCAUGUGGUUUAAUUCGAUGAUACGCGAGGAACCUUACCAGGGCUUAAAUGCAGAAUGACAGGUUUAGAGAUAGACUUUUCUUCGGACAUUUUGCAAGGUGCUGCAUGGUUGUCGUCAGCUCGUGCCGUGAGGUGUCAGGUUAAGUCCUAUAACGAGCGCAACCCCUGCCGUCAGUUGCCAGCAAGUAAAGUUGGGGACUCUGACGGGACUGCCGGUGCAAACCGUGAGGAAGGUGGGGACGACGUCAAAUCAUCACGGGCCCUUACGUCCUGGGGCUACACACGUGCUACAAUGGCCGGUACAGAGAGCAGCCACUCCGCAAGGGGGGA